GGUGCUUGUGGGACUGUAUGUAUUCAAGUGUGCCUUUCCUGGUGCUGGGGCCACUGCACAACAUGGCAGUGUGCCCCUGUGAGGUCUCCUCCUCCCCAACAACUUCAGUCUGCUCCACCACUGUAAAUGACGGCAGGUCAAAAUAACUUAGCUGGCUCAACACCAAUAGCACCAGCAGCAUCAAAGGUAACCAGAUGGAAUAGUCACAGAGCCUUUCCUUUUAAAAAGGAAUUGACAGCAAGGAGUAAAAAUGUGUUGGAUAUAUGUUACUUGUGGUGUGUGAUGGCUUAUCUUGUGUUUUUAUGUUUAUAUGUUAUGAAAAAACCCAAAAUAGGAAAGUAUAUCUUAGAAAGCUUUUCAGUUGAAAAAACCCUUUGUCAGGCUGAGGAAGUACCUGCAGUUGGUGCAUCUCCUGAUCCUGGGUGGAAGGAAUAGUAAAGAAGCCAGGGGCUGGCCUGGCACGCAAUGCAGGCAAGAAAGCCAGUCAGUGAAAAUGGAAAUGGAGGCGUCAUGUGGUGAGGGACAGGCUGGGAGGGCAGAGUAGGGGAUGUAGCAGCGUAGGUAAAAGUGCAGAAGUACCUGGGGAGUCAGAUGUCUGAGUCUUGCCUGCCUGUGGCCAGAGGUGCAGGGCCCCAGAACGCAGACUCCCCCUGCAGUUUUCACUCCCCUGUGCCUUAACACACACACAGUCACCUAUGUCAUGAGUUUUGCUUGUCAGCAGCUUGAGGUGCAGUUUCCCAGAAACCCCUGCACCUAUCAUCUUGAAACUUGGCAGGCUUCGUGCCCUCAGCAGUGGCUACCACCUCUGCAAGCGUCAACUGAAUCAGCCAAAAAACAACAAAGUUAUUGCUAUUUCAUUGAUUUCCCCAUUAUACCCUAUGGCUGAAUCGCUGAAUCUUUUCUGAAUUGAUUUGGCUGAAUCAAAUCGGAGAUUCAAAUCGCUUUUCCUAUUUCGAUUUGGCCAAAUCUGAAUCAUCUGAAUCCGAAUCGAAUAGUUGCCUAUUCGCACAGGCCUAAUACAGCGCAGUCUAUUCCUGCACGGUAUUUGUUGAAUCCAAUAUGAUAGUGGUGAGGCUGGGACCUAAAAAAAAAAAAAGGAAAAAAAAAGGAUAUAUGAAGAUCAAAUUAAUCCUUAAACUAUUCUACAUGUUCUGCUCCUUUGUAAAAGGAAAUAGUUAACUCUGUUAAAGUGAAGUGGGCAGAAGGCAAGGCGGGAUGGAACUCUUUUAGAUUUGUUGAGAGGCUUGAGCUUUUGUGGGCUACAUCCUACUCUGGGCCACUUACAGCUCUUUAAAGGUUAUGUUCAGUUUGAAUAACUGAAGCACCUCAGAGCAGUGAAGCAGUGGCUCAAUGUCCUGAGGGGCUGGUAACUGCCUCAGGCCAAACCCUGCCAAGGUUAAACUAACAAGAGGCAGCUGUAAGCAUAUAUUUUUAUUGUGGGAGGAUCUGUACAGAGUGACUCUUGGAUCUAGGAGAGAGACAUGUAUCCAAGUGGGAACCUCAAAAGGUUGUGGCAGGUGUCCUUCAGUCCAUGUAUUCUUAUUCCAAUCUUGGGCCCUCAACUGUGUAAAUUAAGGGCCUGAUUGACAAGACCCACGCAUACUUUGUGCUGUAUUACAGAGGCAACAGAUAAACAAAUCCUUACAUCUACUACUGCUGCUAUUGGAGUCAGGAACACUAGAGCAAUCUCAUAGAGGGAUUGCUGGGCUAAACUCUGCCUGUCAGCCAAAAAUGCAAUUGAUACGGUUCCUUGUGACAACAGGAAUGACAGGACAUAGCAGCAGGAAGUUUUAAAUGCGUCUUGUGGGUGGGUAGGAGGUUUCUUUUCCAGAUGACUAUUCCAAACUCUUCAUGUUAAACGUUGUAAUCCAGCAGAGAAUGAAAAGCAAAACUCUGGGUAAAUUCAAACCAUAUCCUGCUACUCAUGUGUACUGCAGAUUUUCUAUGGGAAGACUCUUAAUAGCCAAAGAAGCAGGCAAAAAUUACUUCUGCAUGCAGUGUGGCUCUGGCCUCAUGUUUGAACAAAGAGAGCAGAGUUGAAUUGAUGUGUGUGCUGUCUGCAGGUCUGUUGAAUAUUUGCCUUCCAAUUGAUUCCCUCUGAAAGCCAGGUUCUUCUCUUCCCUCCCCACCCCCUUUGCAUUCUGCUCUCUGAGGCUGUUCAGCUGGAGGAAGUCUCUUGAAGAUGAAUAACUUGGAGAAUUAUUCCAGCAUGGCAGAGCAGAGCCUUGCCCUGUAGUACAUGCGGGAAAAGUGUUCCAUGAGCACUGGACUGUAAUGUCCCAUGGCAAAUUAUAGAGAGUGGACAGGUGCUUGUUUUGUUUUUUGUUUUUUUAACAGUAGCUCUAAAGAGAAAAGCAAGCUCUUUGACUUCUAAAGGUAUCAGUGCAAAGGGAGUGAAGGGGAAAAAGUGAGUGUCAUUGUUCUUAAUGAUGUAUAAAUUUUAUGGACCUCCUCUUUUUUUUUUUUUAAAUGGGGUAGGAGGUUUCUUUGUGUGAAAGGUCAGAAAACAGGAACCGUUAGUAUAUCAACUGUUACUCCCACAUCUCUAUAAUGGGAUUAAGAUGGUUUCAUGUUCCUCACCUGCCAGGCUUUAAGGAUUUCACCAAUCUUUUUCCUUCUCCUCAUCUGAAAAUAUUCUGUCCCUUUUGCUCUGUAAAAGACUCAUCCAAACAGAGGGGAGACGAGUUAUGAUGGGUACUCCAGUGAAACAGAUUACAUGGUAAGCUCAACCCUACCAUGUGUCACUUGUAAUGCUGCAGCCUGUGCAAGGUUCCUAUAGCAGAGGGAGGGGCCUGGCUUUCCAGUACCUAGCCCAAGAAUGGAGGUGUUUAGACAUAGAGAGCGAUGCAUCUUCCAGCUGGGCUAUGGUUGACCAGGAGCUGUUCCUUCUAAGGUUUAGUCAGAGCUGUCUGAAGCUGCUCAAAUGAACCUAUGACUAAAUUGGCUGUUGAUCAGCCAUAGAAUUAUGUGGCAUAGAAGGUGACAUAAUACCAUUCAUGUGCCUUCCCUGCAGGUGCAUUGAGCUUAGCUUAGGAGUGAGUCCAAUCUACUGUCAAAAGCAGAAAACCAAUACAGAAUAAAUGCUUUGUUUUCUUUUAUGGUCAGCUUAAAGUUGCUUGUAACAUUGACAGGGAAUACAAGAUGCUCAAAAGGCAUGCGACUGAAGUUGUCAGUGUCGUUUCACAGUAACGGAUUCCCAGAGCUCCUGGUUACCUACAAAAUACUUGAGCUUCUCCGCAAAAAUCAUUUUGCCUGUAGCUAUCACCACGAACUUAAAGAAGCUAUCACUCUGCCUUUUGCCGGGACAGGAAUUGAAGCAGGCAUCAACCUCUACACACUCAUUUCUUGUCACUCUUGGACCACCAUGUGGGUUUGGGGUAACUGUUCUCUUACUGAAUCUCAACAUUGCCAGCAUUUUCCAUCUUCUGUUGAUGACAAUGCCAAGCUCUUGGAUGCGCCUGCACAAAGGCUCAAGUUGCUCUCUUUGGUGAAUGCAUGGUUAACUUGCCUACUAGCAGUAAUUUGUGUUAAUAAGUGGUGAAAUAAUCAACACAAAAUUGUCCCAGCAGAAGCAUGCAGGUGACUUGCUCAUUCCAGGUGUUGUGGGGUUCCCCAAUAGCAUCCCUAAUAGCUUUUUAAAGUGAGCCAAUUAAUUAUUUUUAUUUGCUUUUCUUGCAUUUAUUAGCAUAAAAAGCAACAUUGAAAGUUCUGUGCUGCUGAAAACUAAAGGAAAAGGCCAUAAGGAUUUUGAGUAAAACCAUGGAUGAUUUGACUUGGUGUCUAUGGUGUGAGAAUAUAUAUGACCCUCCUGUGCAUCUGAGCUUGUAUUCAUGUGAUGCCUGAUACAGGGAUCACACAUUCUGUGCAUUCAUCUUUCCAGUGCAAUUAGCAUUUGGUAAGAAAUUAUUACACGUUAGAAGCACCUCUCAGCUUUUGCAGUGAGAACAUAAAAGUAUUAAAAGCCAUACCGGGUCAGAUAAGUGGUGCAUCUAGCCCAGCAUUCUGUCUUUGAUGGUGGCAAUAAUAGAUCUUUUAGAGCAGGAUGUGGGCAAAAUAUGACCCAUGGGUCACAUCCGACCUGCCAACAGAUUUGAUCUGUCCUGUGGGUGAAUGGCUACCAACCCACUGAAUCUAGCCUGUGAGUGGCUGGCAGCUCUGGUCCCCAUGUGGUACUAGGCAGGUAGAACUGCUUCUGCCCAGCAACAUCAAUCCUUGAUGCAAUGACAGUGCUGAUUCAGUGGGGGGUGAUGAGUGGCCAGACACUCUGGAUUUGGCAGUAGCGGGGGGGGGGGUGCUGAGCAGCCAGAUGUGAAGCCAGUGGCAGUGUGGAGUCACCAUGCCACUCUGCCCAGCUCUGCAGGGCCCCCCAAAGUGUGGGGCCUGGUGCGGUCACCCCAAUUUGCCCGCACCCCCACCCCCCGGGACUGCCAUGGCUGUGACACUGCUAGCCGGUUCCACACUGGGGCUCUGGAGCCUUCUGGCUGUGCCCAUAGCUGAUACUGCCAUCUGCCCACCUGCCACUUGGAUCCAUAGCUGAGUGUCAGGGCUUCUGGCAAACUACUGCUCCAGCCAGGUUCUGGAGGGAGAGGGGGAAAGGGAGAGAGAUGAGAUGGAGGAGAGAGACAGAGGAGAGACAAAGAGACAGAGAUGGAUGUGGCCCUUGGCAGGUCUCUAGAACUUAAGUGACCCUCCAGUUGAAAUAAUUGCCCACUCCUGCUUUAGAGGAGAGUAUAUGAAUAUGGUAUAUGUAGAGUGAUCUUUCUUCCCAGUCAUAUCCAUCCUGGCAUCCACCAUCAUUGGUUUAGAAAUGCCUUGAUUGUUCUGUUUAAUAGUUAUUAAUAAACCUAUUGUCCAUGAAUUUGGAUAGUUCCUUUUUGAACUUGGUUAUACCAUCUGCCUCUACAACUUCUGGUAACAAUGAGUUCCACAAGUUAACUACACACGGUAUAAAAUGUACUUUCCCUUACUACUUUUAAAUCUGUCUCUUGCUAAUUUCACUGGGUGUCCUCUAGUUCUAGUUUCCUGGGACUUGGUGAAUAAUAGCUCCCUGUUCACUUUUUCCACACCUUCAUGAAAUUAUAGACUUCUAUCAUAUCCUCCUCCCCCCUCCUGCCUCUGCAGCUUUCUCUUUUCCAAACUGAGGAAUCCUAGCCUUUUUAGUCUCUCCUGGUAUGACAGCUGCUCCAUUCCUCUGAUCGUCUUGGUUGCCCAUUUCUGUACCUUUUCUAAUGCUACUACACCUGUUUUUUGAGAGAUGGAUACUAGAACUGCACACAUUAUUUGAGAUGGGGGCGCACCAUGGAUUUUUGUAUAGUGGCAUAAUGAUGUUUUUGGUUUUGUUUUCAGUCCCUUUCUUAAUGAUGCCCAACAUUUUAUUGGCUUUUUUUGGUUGCUGCCAUAUGUUGAACUGCUGUUUUUAGAGAACAGUCUACAAUGACUCCAAGAUUUCUUUCCUGAGUUGCAAUGGCUAGUUCAGAACUCAGCAUUGUGUACAUAUAAUUGAAGGUAUGUUUCCCCACCCAUAUGCAUUAACUUGUACUUGUCAACACUGGAGUUCAUCUGCCACUUUUUUGCCUAUUUAUUUAGCUUGGUGAGAUGUUUUGGAAGCUCUUCUCUGUCAGCUUGGGAUUUGACUACCCAGAAUACCAUAGCAUUAUCUGUAAACUUGGAGAGGUCACUAUUCAUCUCUAUUUCCAGGUCAUCGAUGAAAAUGUUGAACAGAACUGGGUCUAUCAGGGAGCACAGAUCCCUACAAGACCCCAGUUUUGGCCUCCCUCCAUCCUGAAAAGUGAUCAUUUAGCUAUACUGUUGGCUUCCUAUCUUUUAACCAGCUCCCAAGCCAACUUUCCCUACAGUGAUUGUGGCGGGCCAAUAGGGAGUGCUCCUGCGUUGAGCCACCUACCUCACUGCGCCCGACAACCUUGCAAGCUCCGAGUACCUCCCUGGGGGCACUUCACGUCUGGCCAAUCCCCUUCCUGGAGCACAACCACUACCCUGGGGUAAAAACUACUACAACCCAGGGCUGGGCUUGAUUCUGGCUCUGCAUCUCCUAGGUAACACAGGCCUAGUAGCCCUCAAGGUUACUUGACUCACUUCAAGCAUUUGAGGGUGCUUCCCUCAGUCAGAAGCACAAGUAGUGGUCUCCGUUAGUCAGCUGAACCAAGGGGACCCCAAGGCAUAAUCUAGACCCACUCCCAAUAAGUCUCCCAUGCUAGGUACAAAGGAGAACUUUAUUGGUUACAAGGGGUAGGGUUGGAAUAGGGUACAGGGUAAAGCAAUAUCAGAGAAAUCCCAUAGAGCAAACUGGCAUGGCUGGGUAGCCUUUGAUCAUGCAUCUGAGGUCCUGAAGCUAUAUAUCUAGUUAGAUCUCAGGUAGCUUACCCGCAAGUAUCAUCCAGAGGCAGGUGAAGAUUCCCUCUGGAGGCAGGCAGUUCCUUGAUCAUGAGUUUUAAGAGAGAGAGAGAGAGAGCAGGUUUCAGAUGGUCCAGCUCUUCUCUCUCUCUCUCUCUCUCUCAUAGCCCUUAUGACCUCAUUUACCUGGCCCAAUGGAGGCCAGCACCUGGUGGCUGUCAGCCAACCAAUUUGAAAUUCAUCACUAGUUGCUAGGCAGACUGACAGUCUCUAGCUCCCCAGGGAGCCCAAGCCCCUCACCUAGGUAUGUGAUGCCAGUCACGUAGGCAGAGAGAGUGGAAACCCCCCCUCCCUCAGGAAUGUAUCCAGCUGAGGUUACCUAAAAAGAUAGGGUAAGGUGUGUAUCCUCUGCUGAGCCCAUCCUAACCAAAUUGUCACAGAGCAGAGUUUUUGGGGAGAAACAGAGUUGGCCUUCUGCCAUAGUGAUGCUGUGACAAAAAAUAAAAAACAGCCUGCAUUAUUGUUUGAAGCACUGUGUUGGGAAAUAGGCAAUGCUAUGACAUCCUCGAAAUUAGUCCAUUCAGACAGUACUAUAAAAUUCAUAUAUUACAAUAGCUCCUAAUCAAGCACCUGAAAUUAUGAUAGUUAACAGCCACGCUCUCCUGGCUAUUACAUUAGCUUUCUAUUUUGCUUGAGUGAUACAGCAGUAAAAUAGAGACCCGGACUCUGAUUACUUGGGCACUGGUUUGGAUCUCAAGUAUGGAAAAGUUAAGGCUGCUAAGGGCAGUUUCAUAAUUUUUAAACAGCUAUAUAGGGGCCAAAGUUUCAUCUAAUGCUAUAUGUCACAAGUUUAGUUCCUCUGGGCAAAUAGAACAAACCUUCCUCUUGUUUUACGUAUAUCUACCACCCUCGCACCAUGCUGUCUUCUCCACCAGCUUUAUCUUUCUGGAUACUGCUGAAUAUGACUAAUGUAUGGUGAGGAAGUCAGCUACAACUGGAAUUAGUGGGAGGACCUUGGAAUAUUUUCUUAGGUUGGUGGAGAAGAUCAGCAACAUAGCAUAGGGAAGGGAAAGGGACAAACUGGGCUGAGCUGCUUGCUGCUGAGCUCCCAUGCCAGAUCCAGCCUGUAGGCUGUAGGUUGCCAACCUCUGCACUAAGGAGUUUAAAAAUAAAUAUUUAAGAUGUCAGUGGGCACCUCUACAUGUACAAUUAAUUCAAAACUCCAGGGUUAAUUGCUCCAAAGUUUAUUGCUCCCAGGCAUGCUGUUUGAACAUGUGCCCAAGAGCAAUAAGUUCUGGUGCAAUAAACCUUGGAAUUUAUUGCCGUUUGAAUGUGUGCCUGUGACUGCAGCACACUGAGCUGGGUGGGAGCAGCCCUGGCUGGCAGAGGCCCUGGGGCUGAGCCUGCCAGCCUGGGGCUGCUUCCCCCUGCUCAACAUGCUAUGGAGAGGUUGGCUGGGGCACAAGGGUAUCUCAGUGCUGUUGUGGUUUUGAGCCAUCGCAUGUAUGUUCCGUCUCCACUUUUCUGGUUGAGUGGGCUGCUGUUUUUGUUGGUGGUCAUAGAGAUCAGUGAAUCCCUUAGGUAGCUUGGGAAGUAAGUAGAAGUUUCUGAGCUUGCUGUUUUCCCUCAAUUAAUGAACAUGGUGCUUCAGUUCAAGCAGUAGAGUUACAGGACUUAGAGUACCUGUAGAUGUUCAGGGAGGUUGCCCUGACAUUGCUGGAGCAUGCUAAUUAACACACACUAGCCAACCUCCAUGUCUGGUGUAUCAGUAUCCCCGCACUUCAAAAUGGUGGUGGGAGCAUUUUAACUAAAGCUUGUUCGACGAGCCUUAGUUAAAACACCCCCGCCACCAUUUUGAAGUGCAGGGAUGCAGAUACAUGAGACACUGAGGGCACUUUAAUUAGAGUGGCUUUUGGAGCUACUUUAAUUAAAGCACCCUUCCACCCUCUACCCCUGGAGCAUAUGUAAAAAUGCCCUUAGGGUGUAUCCACAUAUGCAAUCACAUGCACUUGCAGUAGCUCAAAUUGAAGCAGCGCAAAUUUGAGCCAGGGCUUUUCGCCUCAGUGCACGUGCCCGAACAUGCACUUUGUGGGGCAAAUUUUGCCACUUGGGGCAAAACAACCCUGCUCGGCUCCUCCCAGAUCUGCAGCCUGGGGGAGCUAGAGGCUGGGGCCAGCACCUGGGGGAGGAGCCUCUGGGAGGAAGUUGGCCACACCCAUUCCUGUCCCAGGCUGCUGCUGUUACUGUUGCUUGAUCUCAGAACCUUCUAGGGGAAGUAGACCAUGCACCUACCUACUGUAGGCUAUUGCUGCUGCUAGCCUACUCUCAGGAGCUUCUGGGGGUUCUGGGACCUCCUGGUCAACCUCCUCCUGGCCCUGGCCAAGGGAACUCUGUACUUGAGUAGGAAGGAGGCUCUGGCCGGGAAGGUGCCUGGAGACUGCACGGCCGCUUUUCUCUCCCUUGUCUGUUCAACUUUAUGAGUAGAGCACAGUGGGUGGCAUCCACCAGCUCCUUUGAUGCUGUGGGUCCAGCCUGGGGGGGGUCUGUUCAGUGUCCCCCUCAGGUGCACUUAUUUUCAUGUUUUGACCCUUUGACUCACACAACACUCCUAUCCUGAGUUUUUUUUCCACUAGUUGUCCCACGAAUUUAGUUGUUCCAUUCAUCCAUUAGCCCCCAUAAAAAGGGGCUACUAGUUAGCCAGGUGGGCCUUGCCCAUGGUAAUUGGAUGGAUAUAUAGGAGCUUCUGGGGAAAGCUGGCCAUAACCCUUCCUGCUUCAGGCUGCUAUUGCUGUUGCUAGCCCUCUCAGAAGCUUCUGGAAGGAUGCUGGCCACUCCCCUUCCUGCAUCAGGCGGCUGCUGCUGUUGCCACCCCCCCAUGGGGGGCUCCUCUGUUGCACACCUCUGCCCCUGCUUUGGGGGGGCCCACCGCAUUGCACCGCACACCAGCAUUGCACCCCAGCUUCUACACAUGUUCCAGCCUGCUGCCCAGCCCACUGCCAAGCUGUGGGUGGGAGACAGCCCGAGAAAGGAACCUGAGGUGUCUAUGGGCCCCUCCCCCACCAUCAAUGCUGGAGCCUAAAGGUGCCUUGCCUGCCUCAGCUGCCUUGGCAGUCCACCCCCACCUUCACCUCCACUUUCACCUGAAGCACAUGCUGAGUGGCUGAACUGGAUAGCUGCUACCUGUUCUGCUGCUGUCCCCUCUCAGGAGAUGGAGAUGCCCUACUACAUCACCUUGCACCACUCAACACCACACCAGCACUGGAUUACUCCCUAAUUGACUAAUUACUUCUGCACUCCCCUACAGCUGGCCCACUGCAUCUAAUUCUGCUUUGUUUUCUUGCAUAUUGUCCUGCUGCUGAGUGCCUGGCUAGAGGCCAGAGGGGCUCCUGGACCAAGAUCCAACAAACAAAGCCUGUCCACCCAUCUUUUAUAUCUGCCUCAGCAGCCUUCCCUGUGUGUUGUUGCCCUUGUGUGGGGUCUCCAUCCCCUGAAGUCCAGCUGCCUCAGCAUGCUGGAGCAAAUAGGAGAGGGGCAAGGCUGCAGCAGUGGAUCAGACCCAGGCUCUGUCCCUGGAUUUUUAUGUACAAGGCUACCUUCCUCCAAAACCUCAGCAUCAUGAUCAGUUCAUAGCAAAAACUGCAGCUCAUCUCUCAAAGCCUAGAAAAAAACUCUACAACAGCUCAGUACAACACAAUGUACAAACUGUACAGGAACUAAAGAGGGGAAGGAAGGAAGAAAGGACAGAAGGAUGGAAGGAAAGCUGAAAGGAAGACAAAAAAAGAAAAUAAGAAAAAGAAAAGAACAGCUGCCCCCUUUAUCUCUUCUGAAUUAUUUUCAACUAAGAAAUGCAAGUCAAAUGUUGUGCUUCAAGAGUCAUGAUCACUACAAAAUGGGUUCUUUUGAAGGGGGAAACACUUGCCCUUGACUUGCUUUCCCUUUCCCCUUAACACCCCCAUGUAAAAACUGUAUAAGAAGUCAGGUUUUGAGUGUUGCAGUAGAAACCAGGAGGCCUGCCGGACACUGGUCUAGCAGAUCUCUAUGAUUCUGUUGGUUUCAUCCUUCUGUUUUGGAGCUUUAUCAGGGAGAAGGCUUGGGCAGUUCUCUGGGGGCAAAGCACCAGAUACAUAUGAAAGGGUGUCCAGUUUGAGUGGUUGAGAUUCUUGGCUCCACCAGCCUCGGAAACUAGAAACUAGGAACAAGCCCAUGAAAGAGGGAAGCUGUGAAAUCACAAUAGCUGGACAUGCGAGAGGUCUGCUUAGACCUUGUAUUACAGAAUGUUUCCCUUGAGAAAACUGCACUAUGUCUGCUGCUAUCUUUUGUUCUUAGGGUUGUGAGUAGGUCAAGAGUAGUUUGAAUGUGGAGAUCGGGUAGGGACAGAAUAUUCCAGUUUCCUCAUGCCCAGCACUCUUGGCACUAAUCUUUACAAAUCUUUUACAUAUAGGUGAGUUACAGCAUCACUUGGACCCAUCACAAUACACUGCGAUGUUGGAUGCAGCCUUUGGUAUAAGGAACAAUUUCCUCCUUCCCCCACUCCCUGACAUGACCAAGGAAAACCAGAGUGAGGCUGAAGCAAGGGGACAUGUGUGAACAUUUUUCUAUAGAGUAUGGAGUUGUCCACUGAACACGGUAUAGGUGUUGUGGUAGAGAGUAAGAGUUUGAUCACAUCCCUGAACUGUUUGACUUGUUGGUCCAGUAAAGGCUUUCACAUUACCCACCUCACAAAGACUGUUUGCUUGCCUCGUCUUUUUUAAUCUAUAGUCAGUCACAUGUCUAGGAGACCAGAUGUCUAGGAUACCUGAAGAUUGAAGGUGCUUUGUUUCUCUUGCUCAAAAUCACUUGUUCUUCUGUACAUGGCUUCCUUUCUGUCUCUUUUCAUGCAGUUUCUAAGAGCCCAGCACACAGCAAGGGGCACGCUACACAUUCCCUUACACAUGGAAGUGACUGUGCACCCAAGGUGACUGUGACAGGAUGAAAACCAAACAAGGAAUGGGGAGCUCCUUGCAUGCCCCAUUCAUGAACGUGACCAUAAGUUUGAAACCAUAGAUUGUUCAGAGCAGGAGAGUCUUUUCCCACAGUUAAUAAACAUGCUGGUCCUGUGUAUCACAGGAGCAAACA